UACGUAGGGGGCUAGCGUUGUCCGGAUUUAUUGGGCGUAAAGAGCGUGUAGGCGGCCAGGUAGGUCUGCUGUGAAAACUCGAGGCUCAACCUCGAGACGUCGGCGGAAACCAUCUGGCUAGAGUCCGGAAGAGGAGAGUGGAAUUCCGUGGUGUAGCGGUGAAAUGCGCAGAUAUCGAGGAAGAACACCCGUGGCGAAGGCGGUUCGUCU
rnacentral:rRNA from 1 species